ensembl:snRNA U6 U6 spliceosomal RNA
GUGCUCGCUUCGGCAGCACAUAUACUAAAAUUGGAACGAUACAGAGAAGAUUAGCAUGGCCCCUGCGCAAGGAUAACUUGUAUACUUUUGUUUUUAUUAUGUUAUAU